CCCCCUCCUAUAGCCCGGUCCCAGGUCGUCGGCCCCUCCUCCUAUAGCCCGGUCCCAGGUCGUCGGCCCCUCCUCCUAUAGCCCGGUCCCAGGUCGUCGGCCCCUCCUCCUAUAGCCCGGUCCCAGGUCGUCGGCCCCUCCUCCUAUAGCCCGGUCCCAGGUCGUCGGCCCCUCCUCCUAUAGCCCGGUCCCAGGUCGUCGGCCCCUCCUCCUAUAGCCCGGUCCCAGGUCGUCGGCCCCUCCUCCUAUAGCCCGGUCCCAGGUCGUCGGCCCCUCCUCCUAUAGCCCGGUCCCAGGUCGUCGGCCCCUCCUCCUAUAGCCCGGUCCCAGGUCGUCGGCCCCUCCUCCUAUAGCCCGGUCCCAGGUCGUCGGCCCCUCCUCCUAUAGCCCGGUCCCAGGUCGUCGGCCCCUCCUCCUAUAGCCCGGUCCCAGGUCGUCGGCCCCUCCUCCUAUAGCCCGGUCCCAGGUCGUCUCCCCCUCCUCCUAUAGCCCGGUCCCAGGUCGUCGGCCCCUC